rnacentral:rRNA from 1 species
GAUGAACGCUGGCGGCGUGCUUAACACAUGCAAGUCGAACGGAAAGGCUCCUGCUUGCAGGGGUACUCGAGUGGCGAACGGGUGAGUAACACGUGGGUGAUCUGCCCUGCACUUCGGGAUAAGCCUGGGAAACUGGGUCUAAUACCGGAUAGGACGAUGGUUUGGAUGCCAUUGUGGAAAGUUUUUCGGUGUGGGUUGAGCUCGCGGCCUAUCAGCUUGUUGGUGGGGUAAUGGCCUACCAAGGCGUCGACGGGUAGCCGGCCUGAGAGGGUGUACGGCCACAUUGGGACUGAGAUACGGCCCAGACUCCUACGGGAGGCAGCAGUGGGGAAUAUUGCACAAUGGGCGCAAGCCUGAUGCAGCGACGCCGCGUGGGGGAUGACGGCCUUCGGGUUGUAAACUCCUUUCGCUAGGGACGAAGCGCAAGUGACGGUACCUGGAGAAGAAGCACCGGCUAACUACGUG